rnacentral:rRNA from 1 species
AUUGAACGCUGGCGGCAGGCUUAACACAUGCAAGUCGAGCGGAGAUGAGGUGCUUGCACCUUAUCUUAGCGGCGGACGGGUGAGUAAUGCUUAGGAAUCUGCCUAUUAGUGGGGGACAACAUCUCGAAAGGGAUGCUAAUACCGCAUACGUCCUACGGGAGAAAGCAGGGGAUCACUUGUGACCUUGCGCUAAUAGAUGAGCCUAAGUCGGAUUAGCUAGUUGGUGGGGUAAAGGCCUACCAAGGCGACGAUCUGUAGCGGGUCUGAGAGGAUGAUCCGCCGCACUGGGACUGAGACACGGCCCAGACUCCUACGGGAGGCAGCAGUGGGGAAUAUUGGACAAUGGGGGGAACCCUGAUCCAGCCAUGCCGCGUGCGUGAAGAAGGCCUUAUGGUUGUAAAGCACUUUAAGCGAGGAGGAGGCUCUUUUGGUUAAUACCCAAGAUGAGUGGACGUUACUCGCAGAAUAAGCACCGGCUAACUCUGUGCCAGCCGCCGCCGUAA